rnacentral:tRNA from 1 species
UGGUCCCGUGGUGUAGCGCUUAACAUGCCUGCCUGUCACGCAGGAGAUCGCGGGUGCGAUUCCCGUCGGGACAGCCA